GCGGCGGCUGCGCGGCACUGGCCCUUUAAGCCCGCGACAUCCGGGCACCGCGGGCGGCGGCCUCGACCAGAGCCCGGAGGUCCGCGAGGCGGGCGGCGAAGGCAGGAGGGCUCUCGGGACGCAGCCUCGCCUGAGGCAGGUCAAGGACGCCCGAACGAGGGUCGCGGACGCUUCCCCGCGGGGCCGCGCCGCGCGUGUCCGCACCGCUUCCUGCGCGCGCCCUGGGGCGGGGCUAUGCGAAGCUAGCCAAUCAGCGAUGGGCAUCCUGGAUCCGCCCCCCCCGAGCCCUGGGGAGGGCGGGGCCGUGGGAAGGGCGGGGCGUGGGGGACCUGCUAGCGGAGGUGGGGAAUGGGCUGGGAGGAGCCAGUGGUGCGGGCCCGGGCUGCGGGUGCUGUCUCAGUCCGCGGCUUAGCAAACCUGGGGCACCGGCCGUGUUCUUAAGCGAUUCCCCAGAACCUUCCACGGGCAAAAAUCGGGAAAGUUUGCACUCACUGGUGUCCACAAAUUCUGAAGCCCUCAAACAUGGAAAUAGCCCAGAUGUCCAGCAGUGGAUGAAUAGACAGACCAGAGUCACUGUAUCCAUAUGGGAAACAUUUGUCAGCUUGAGAAUGAAGCGACAUUCCCAGGUGCCCUGUACUGUGGACACACCUUGAGGAUAUUAUAAGACAGACUGAAAAGGGAGCUCUUGAACAUUGCAGGAGCGUCACAACAUGGCAUAAUCUUGAGAUCAGCCACACAAAGUGAAACUCCUCGGCCCUUUCCUGCAACUUCUUUGGUGAGUUUCUCUUCUAUUCCUCUAAGCUUGACUCUCUUUUAGUUCUCAUUCAACAGCACCUCAGGUGCUUCUAAUGCCGAGGCCCUUCAACACAGUCUUUCAUGCUAUGGUGGUGAUGCCCGGUCAUAAAAUUAUUUUAGUUGGUAUGUUAUAACUUUAAUAUUGCUGCUGUUAUAAAUCAUAAUAUACAUAACUGAUAUGCAGGAUAGCUAUGGGACCUCGAGGGGGUCGAGACUCACAGGUUGAGAACCUACUCAUCUAGCAUCGCGUGAAAGAAGAUUAAUCAUAUUUUUGCAUGGUUCUUACAUGAAUAAAAUUACUAAUGGUCACUCUGUUCUAUGUUUCUAUUAUAGUAGAUCCACUACCUGAAUGUACUGCUGCCUAUCCUCCCUUCUUUCCUUCCUUCCUUCCUUCCUUCCUUCCUUCCUUCCUUCCUUCCUUCCUUCCUCCCUCCCUCCCUCCUUCCUUCCCUCCCUCCCUCCCUUCCUUCCUUCCUUCCUUCCUUCCUUCCUUCCUUCCCUCCCUCCCUUUCUGUGUUAAGGAUGGAAGCCAGGGCCUGUGCGUGCUAAGGACAUACUUGACCAGUAAACAUCAACACAGUCUCUUCUUCUCUUUAAGUCUGAAAAUUUUCUUUUUGUUCUUCAAGUCUCCUCCGAACCCUUCCUCAACUCUGAAAAUGUAUUCCCUGGUUCUCAUUCCCGUCACAUGAGGAGAAAUCUCCAUAUACUUUCUAUGUAAUCCCUGUAACACAACUGUGUUUCCCCAGGUACAUGAGACUUGUGGGGUCGGAGACUGUAGCUUAUAUUAAUUUGUGCAUCAUUAGACUCUGACACAGAGCCCAACAUAGCAAAUAUUGAUUGACUAAGAAGACUUUUUUUCAAUGCAUAGUAGCACAAGUCUUUUAAUUGAAACUAUAUAUUUUCAGACAAUAUAGUCUGAUUAUGGUUCCCCUCCCCCAGUUCCUUUCAUAUUCUCCCCAACUCCCCACUCACACAAAUCCACACCCUUUCUUUCUCUUUUCCUCAUUAGAAUACAAACAGGCAUCUAAAACUAAUUUUUAAAAAAUACAGUGCCGGGCGUGGUGGCGCACGCCUUUAAUCCCAGCACUUGGGAGGCAGAGGCAGGCGGAUUUCUGAGUUCAAGGCCAGCCUGGUCUACAAAGUGAGUUCCAGGACAGCCAGAGCUACACAAAGAAACCCUGUCUCGAAAAACCAAAAAACCAAAAAAAACAACAAAAACAAAAAAUACAAUAAGAUAAAAUAACAAACAAAGCAGAAUAGGACAAAACAGUCAAAGGGAAAUCACAGGAAACACAUGUAGGUGCAGGGGACACACACAGAAGCAAACACGGCAAAGGAAAGCACAAUGUAUAUGCAAAAAAACUAUACAACAACAACAAAAAAGAAUAAAACGAAUACUCAGACAAAGCACUAAGGAACAGGGAACCUACAAAACUGCCAUUGCGUUCAUUUUGUGUUGGCCUUCUACUGCUGGCCGUGGGGUUUGUCCUUAAGAGCGGUUUCUAUACCUAGUGAGAGUCCAUUGAAAAGGGUAAGUUCUCCUUUGCAAGUGCUUAUAGACUGCAUAGCACUUCUCUAGGGAUGGGGAGCUUGAGUGGUCACCCGUCUUUAAUCCCAGCACUUGAGAAGCAGAGACAGCUGUGUGUCUGCAAAUUCCAUGUCUGCCUCAUUUACAUGUGAGUCCCUGGCUAGCUAGGACAGUGUAGUACAAACCUGCAUCCAAAAUAGAUGGAUAGGUAGGUAGAUAGAUAGAUAGAUAGAUAGAUAGAUAGAUAGAUAGAUAGAUGAUAGGUAGGUAGGUAGAUGAUAGAUAGGUAGGUAAGUAGAUAAAGAUAGAUUUGGUCUAAUUGGUGAUAAUUUAGCUAAAAUUUUGGUUCAUUAUGUUCUUACAAACAUUGUCAUCUUUUUAUACUCCACAAUAAGUUGCUAAUUUAAUACUUAUACUAAUUAAAACUAGGUUUGGCUGCAAUAUUAAAAUAAUAUUAGUAUAAAAAAUAGAGGGCUGGAGACAUGGCUCAGUGGUUAAGAGCACUGUCUGCUCUUCCAAAGGUCCUGAGUUCAAAUCCCAGCAACCACAUGGUGGCUCACAACCAUCCAUAAUGAAAUCUGGUGCCCUCUUCUGGAGUGUCUGAGGACAGCUACAGUGUAUUUACAUAUAAAUAAAUAAAUCUUUUUUAAAAAUAGAACAUUUUGAGGCAGAUGAUGGUGACACAGGCUUUAAUUCUAGUUCUUGGGAGGCAGAGACAGGCAGAGGCAGCUGGUUUGAGUUUGAACUUAGCCUAGUGAACAGAGUGAGUUCCAGGACAGGGAAGGCUACACAGAGAAACCCUGACUCAAAUACACACACACACACACACACACACACAAAAAAAGAACAUUUAUUGUUGUUUUGUUUUAUGAAAUAGUUUUCACUAUGUUGCCCAGGCUAGUCUCCAACUUAGAGGUUCAAGUGAUCCUCCUGCUUCAGCUUCCACAGCUGGGAUAAUAGAUACAGCCUCACUAAGCCUUGGCAGAAAAACAAUGUAUCCCAGCCCCACACAAAUUCAAGGCUCGAGUGGGCUUUGGUUUUUUUUUUUUAAGAAUUAUUUAUUUUAUGUAUAUGAGUACACUGUCGCUGUCUUCAGACACGUUAGAAUUGGGUAUCAGAUCCCAUUAAGAUGGAUAUGAGCCACCAUGUGGUUGCUGGGAACUGAACUCAAGACCUCUGGAAGAGCAGUCAGUUCAGAUGGCUUAGCCAACCUCUAAGCCAUCUCUCCAGCCCCAAGAGUGCUUUUCAAAUGAGUCCCUAUGCCAUGUCUUAAUUCCAGAUCUGUGAUAGAGGGGAAGCUAAGACACUAAAAGUCAAAAUUCAACACCUGCCUUGGCAACUUAGUGAGAUGUCUCAAAAUAUUAAGAAGUAAAAAGAGUGGGGGGUGUAGCUCAGAGGGUUCAAUUAGCAUGCAUGUUUUUCUUCGGUUUUCAGGGAGGGGCAGAGGAAAAGAGGGGCAGGCACAGGGGUGGGGUAGGCAAAUGUAGAUUUCAAUGUAUCCUUCCCAACUCUUACCCUUAUCAGAAGGCCACGCUCCAUACUUCUGGAGCAUUUUAGCACAAAGCAGGUGAAUACGUUUCCAGAUACAGGUUUUCCUGUCUUAACCGGCUCUUUGGCCUUAACAUCAGGAUGAGACAGACAUGGUAUGAGGUAGAGUGGAAAUAAAGGCGAUGAGUAGAGAGAAGAGAACAGUGUUUACAAAAAAUGUUUCCCGUUCUAGCACUCCAUGGGGCCUCUGCCUGUCGCAGGCUGUGUUUUCUUUGAGCUGUGUCUCCCCUUAGCUUUGGGGGCUGGGCUCUCUUCCAGCGCUAGUAUCAGACAGCUGCAGUUCCACCUCCAGCAGCUGGGGGGCUCUAUUCCACCACGGCCCACUCAGAGAAGCGAUUAAUUCUCACCCUUUUCCUGUCACAUAAAGGAGGUGACUUCAAAGGCCACAGAACAUUCUUCUCAACAGUACAGAGGGUAUAGACUGCCACCUGCCUGCCCGUUUGACACUAAGGGGGCCCACCCUGUGCUGCUCUGGCCAUCCUUGUUGUAUGAAGCUGAUUCUAACAUCAGACACCUUCCACCAAGACCUCAGAAACCCAGCUCCCUUCCUUAACUCUCUCUGGAUUUUUUUUUUCCAAUCUCCCAGAGUUUUGGAGCAGGCUGCUGGACAUCUCCCAUCUCUACCUAGCUGAGGACAGUGUCUCCUGCCCCUCAACUCCCAUCCUUCUGCAAAAGGGCUCCCUUGUCUUCGCUGCCCAAGUUCCUCGUAUCCAAAUAAGGAAGCACACAGCUUCCACUGUUCCCGUUGCCACUGGCGCUUCUUGCUUAAUUAUCUGUUCUCUGGUUGCAUUCUACACAUCAUCAUGAGCCGAACAUGAUGAUGUCAUCAUUGACCUCCAGAUGACCUCAGUGGACAAAGACCUUAGAUUCCUCCAUUCCACCGGGGCACCAUUGCCACUUCCAAUAGUUUUCUGUCGCACUAUACACUCUAGACCUGUCCUCAUUUCUCCUUCCUUCCUUCCUUCCUUCCUUCCUUCCUUCCUUCCUUCCUUCCUUCCUUCCUUUCUUUUUUCCUUUCUCUUUUCCUUUCUUCCUUCCUUUCUUUCUUUCUUUCUUUCUUUCUUUCUUUCUUUCUUUCUUUUUUUCUACUUUUUUAGACAGGAAAAAAGGAACUCACUAUCCUGGAACUCACUUUAUAGAUCGGGCUGGCCUGGAACUCACAAACAUUUGCCUCUGCCUCCAGGGUGCUGAAAUUAAAGGUAAGCACCACCAUACCUGGCUCUAUGUCCUUAUUUCUUGUGACCAUUCUGUUGGGAAAUAAAACACCCACACUGCCAUUGGACAUUUAACUUUGUCUUGGGUGGAGCAUGGUGGGUUUGUGCAUGGCUUCCUUUGGCACAAUGAGUUCUAUACGGUUGGCACAAUUACUAUCUCUGCCUCACAGGUAGGUAAGGAUGGAGGAUGCUGGCCUUGGAGUUCUUUGGAGGUAAGAGAUGAGCUCAAGGUGACAAAGUUAGUAGGCCACAGCUAGACACAACCCCAGCACCGUGAAGUUUCAUCAGAAAAGCUUCCUGCUCCUCUUCAAG
rnacentral:lncRNA from 1 species